rnacentral:rRNA from 1 species
UACGGAAGGCAGCAGUGGGGAAUAUUGCACAAUGGGCGCAAGCCUGAUGCAGCCAUGCCGCGUGUAUGAAGAAGGCCUUCGGGUUGUAAAGUACUUUCAGUCGUGAGGAAGGUGUUAAGGUUAAUAACCUUAGCAAUUGACGUUAGCGACAGAAGAAGCACCGGCUAACUCCGUGCCAGCAGCCGCGGUAAUACGGAGGGUGCGAGCGUUAAUCGGAAUUACUGGGCGUAAAGGGCACGCAGGCGGUUAAUUAAGUUGGAUGUGAAAUCCCCGGGCUUAACCUGGGAAUGGCAUUCAAGACUGGUUAGCUAGAGUCUUGUAGAGGGGGUAGAAUUCCAUGUGUAGCGGUGAAAUGCGUAGAGAUGUGGAGGAAUACCGGUGGCGAAGGCGGCCCCUGGACAAGACUGACGCUCAUGUGCGAAAGCGUGGGGAGCAAAC